AGGAUGAACGCUGGGCGGCGUGCCUAAUACAUGCAAGUGAAACGGGUAUCUUCGGAUGCCAGUCGCGGACGGGUGAGUAAUACAUAGGCAACCUGCCUUUAUGAGGGGGAUAACCGAGGGAAACUUUUGACUAAUACCGCAUGAAGACUCUAAGGCAUCUUAGAGGGAUAAAAGUUGGGAAACAACGCAUGAAGAUGGGCUUAUGGCGCAUUAGCUAGUUGGUGAGAUAGAAGCCCACCAAGGUAAUGAUGCGUAGCCGACCUGAGAGGGUGAACGGCCACAUUGGGACUGAGACACGGCCCAAACUCCUACGGGAGGCAGCAGUAGGGAAUUUUCGGCAAUGGGGGGAACCCUGACCGAGCAACGCCGCGUGAAAGGAAGAAGGUUUUCGGAUUGUAAACUUCUGUUAUAAGGGAAGAACGGAUUGGAUAGGGAAUGAUCUGAUAGUGACGGUACCUUAUUAGAAAGCCACGGCUAACUACGUGCCAGCCGCUGC
rnacentral:rRNA from 1 species